rnacentral:misc_RNA from 1 species
GAUGAAGAACGUAGCGAAAUGCGAUAAGUAAUGUGAAUUGCAGAAUUCAGUGAAUCAUCGAAUCUUUGAACGCACAUUGCGCCCGCCAGUAUUCUGGCGGGCAUGCCUGUUCGAGCGUCAUUACAACCCUCAGGCCCCCGGGCCUGGCGUUGGGGAUCGGCGGAAGCCCCCUGCGGGCACAACGCCGUCCCCCAAAUACAGUGGCGGUCCCGCCGCAGCUUCCAUUGCGUAGUAGCUAACACCUCGCAACUGGAGGGCGGCGCGGCCACGCCGUAAAACACCCAACUUCUGAAUGUUGACCUCGAAUCAGGUAGGAAUACCCGCUGAACUUAAGCAUAUCAAUAAGCGGAGGA